rnacentral:tmRNA from 1 species
GUCCAGAGUGCUGGCCUUGCGAGGCCAGCCGUCCACUCCGGCCAUCGUUAUCUGGGCGGAUCAGUGGGCGACACCAAAGAUAACGUGCGAUCCGUGGACGCCGAUACGACGGGUCAAAGAGACAUCGGCUAGUCGCCGGCAUACCUCGCCGGUCAGGGCUACCGGCGGCGAAAGUAAAGGAUCGGAUAAGCUUGUAGACGUGCGUCCUCGAAUCCUUUGGACACCGGUGCGAUUCCGGUCACCUCCACUC